rnacentral:rRNA from 1 species
CCUACGGGUGGCAGCAGUGAGGAAUAUUGGUCAAUGGACGAAAGUCUGAACCAGCCAAGUAGCGUGAAGGAUGACUGCCCUAUGGGUUGUAAACUUCUUUUAUAUGGGAGUAAAAUGUUCCACGUGUGGGAUUUUGUAUGUACCAUAUGGAUAAGGAUCGGCUAACUCCGUGCCAGCAGCCGCGGUAAUACGGAGGGACCGAGCGUUAACCGGAUUUAUUGGGUUUAAAGGGAGCGUAGGUGGAUUGUUAAGUCAGUUGUGAAAGUUUGGGGCUCAACCGUAAAAGUGCAGUUGAAACUGGCAGUCUUGAGUGCAGUAGAGGUGGGCGGAAUUCGUGGUGUAGCGGUGAAAUGCUUAGAUAUCACGAAGAACUCCGAUUGCGAAGGCAGCUUACUGGACUGCAACUGACACUGAGGCUCGAAAGCGUGGGUAUCAAACAGGAUUAGAUACCCUUGUAGUC